AUGUACUCGACACCCAAUGGAGCACAGGAGCAGGCCGAGGAAGGAGAGGCGAGCGGAGGCAAAAGUGAAGACGAGAGAGAAGAGUGGGAAUCUGACAGCGAAGGAGAGGGGGGUGACGACGACGACUCCAGUGAAGAGGAGGAGGAAGAAGGCAUAUUUCCAACACCUCCAUGCUCGGAACGGCGAUCCAAGCUUACACACGACCCUGCGCGGGAACGUGGUAAGGCGACUGUCCCUGUUGGGCAGUCGUCGAAGCGCCCUCGGACCUCAUCUCCAGCACCGACAGAAAAAGCUCCCAAGCACCCACACGCGACGCCGUCCAAGCCGCCCAAGGCUCUGCCCAAGAUGAAGAUGACUGUCCCCACCAUUUUUGGGUAA
rnacentral:rRNA from 1 species